rfam:Salmo salar isolate Sally breed double haploid chromosome ssa04, whole genome shotgun sequence.
UGCACACAUGACUGUAAGUCACUUUGGAUACAAGCAUCUACUAAAUGGCUUAUA